AGGAUUCUUUUAGUAAUGGCGAAUGAACAAAGAACAGCUCAUGUUGACAAUUGGAACCUUUGGUUUCGAAUUGCACAAUGUAGUUGCAUCACCAAUGGGAAUGUGCAUGCAAGUCUUUUGGGGAAGAGCAGCAUUGAAGGUGAAACUCCUGCAUGCCAUGCACAUUUUCCCAUGCAAGGUAUGCUUCUGAGAGUCGCGUUCCUUGGAAAUGGAGCGCAAAAUGGGUGGUAAUUUUCAUCUAAAGCUAAACAUUGGUUUGAGACCGAUAGCAAACAAGUACCAUGAGGGAAAUGUGAAAAGGACUUUGAAAAGAAAGUUAAAAGUACCUGAAAUUGCUGGAGUCAAAGCAAAUGGAAUGCAUUGCUAAAGCAGGAUUGCAAUAUGCAAAUGCUUGCCUUUCUGCACACCUAUUUGUGCUCCUUGUGCUUGUGUAUGCAUGUGGUGUGUCUUGUUUUGCAUGUCUGGAUGGCUUUGUAAUGUCAAUAUUUUGUGCAUGAGGGAACAUGUGCUGUGCUCGGUGUGAUCAUGUGCAAGCAUGACAUGCAAAGUCGUUGCAUAUGCUGAGCUGUGCUCUUUGCAAGCUUUCUGCUUCUCUGUGCAUGCUUGGCAUUUUAUGACAAAGGUGUUUCAUUUGACCCGUCUUGAAACACGGACCAAGGAGUCUAAAGCAUGUGCAAGUUUUUGAGCUUAUCAUUCGGGGCGCAAUGAAAAUGAUAAUCGGGAUGUGUGCACCGACAGCCAACCAAUUGAUUGUGAGAGGUUUGAGUUUGAGCAUGUAUUUUAGGACCCGAAAGAUGGUGAACUAUGCUUGAGAAGAAUAAACUCAGGGGAAACUCUGAUGGAGGCUUGCAGCGGUACUGACGUGCAAAUCGUUCGUCAAACUUGGGUAUAGGGGCGAAAGACUAAUCGAACCAUCUAGUAGCUGGUUCCCUCCGAAGUUUCCCUCAGGAUAGCUGGAAUUGUCAAGUUUCAUCAGGUAAAGCGAAUGAUUAGAGGAAUUGGGGGCGUGUUGUCCUUGACCUAUUCUCAAACUUUAAAUGGGUAAGCCCCAAUUGUUGUUUUGUAAACUUUUGGGAAAAUGCAAAUUCUAUGUGGGCCAUUUUUGGUAAGCAGAAUUGGCGAUGAGGGAUGAACCUAACGUUGGGAUAAGGUGCUUCACUGCUCGCUCAUCAGAUACCAUAAAAGGUGUUGGUUCAUUUAAACAGCAGGACGGUGGUCAUGGAAGUCGAAAUCCGCUAAGGAGUGUGUAACAACUCACCUGCCGAAUGGACUAGCCCUGAAAAUGGAUGGCGCUCAAGCGGGUGACUGAUACCCAGCCGCUGUGGAUAUUAUAUUUCAGCAGCGAGUAGGGGGGUGCAACAGC
rnacentral:rRNA from 1 species